AGGACUUGGGAGGCCCUGGAAAGGAGUCUGGCUGAAAUGGAAAUGCUGUGAGAAGCCACAUAAAUGUGGAGUUUCAACAAGCGAGCGAUGAGAUGAGAUGUGAUUUGUAUUCUAAGACCAGGUCUUCCUGAGAAGAGGAAGCACCGGGGGCAAGUCAGAGCAGAGAUACAUGUUGACUCGGACCCCAAGGAGAAUGUUUAUGUGAACAGGUCAUCGUACUGGCUGGAGGCCGCUCAGGGAAGAGGUAGAGUUACACUUCCGGGUUUGAAUCCUUGCUCCACCACCUACUUGCCUGUGGGAUCCUGGGAACCAGGCCCAGGGAGCCGGGGUGACUUCUCAGAGUCACAUGACACAUGCGGCCAGCCUGAGUCCGGGGCUCUGGCUGUGACCCCAAGAACCAGGAAUGUGCCCGCCUCUGACUCCUCGAAGGGAUUUAUUCAUUCUGAAGACACUGUUUUCUGCUCCUCAGAGCCAUCUUGUUGAGGCAGAGGGUGACCAGCGGCCCCCCACUCCUCCCCAGGAUGCUCAACAGAGGGGUCUCCUGGGCUGUGGGAUUUUGGGCUCUAAAACUGGGCAAAUUGAGAUGAGUUGGUCCCCCUCUGUGAGCCCUCCCACAAGCACCCAGUCACCUGCUCAGAAGGGCCUCGGAGACCUGGCCUGACUCCUCCAGGAGCCACACGCUCUUCCAUCUCACUGCCAGGGCUGAUUAGGAAACUAGAAGCUCCUCUUCGUAUUUGAGACAGAAAAUAUACACCAUUCAGGAAAUUGGUGGGAAAACUGAGACACCAAAUAGGGGAGUGGAAAAACUCAGAGAUUAGCAAUAACCAAUGGUGCCAAGACCAUUUUCUGGCUGCAGUGACAGAGGGAGGAGGUAGGGCUCCUGGCCCCCUGGGGGUGGGGGGUCACCCUUGUAGGGUUGGGGGUCACUCUUGGACGUUGAAGUCAGGUGGACCUGACCUGGGGAAGCUGGAGUCACCAGAGACCGAGCCACCUGCGGAGGCGCUGCUGCUGGGACAGAGGGAACCACCGUGCUGGCCGCUUUCCACCCCUCGCCCUCGGUCUUGCAGCAGGGGUUUCUCCUCAUAUGUGGAAGGUCCAGGGGCUGGGGACUGUGAGCAGAAGCCUGGCUCAUUGGGCAGGCAGGAGAACUUCCCUCAGGCCUGGGUUUCUCAUCCUGGGGGAGCCAGGCUUCUUUGCAUGUCAGCUCCAGUGCUGACACACGGGUUUGGAAUCAAACCCCCGUGACAAUCAGCUACUUGAAUCAAAGAAGCUCAGCCUCAUCAAACAUUUAAGCUGAAAGGCAUCUCCAAGAUCAGGGGAACACAAGCCCGGACUGCUGACGGAGAGACAGUGGCGCCAGUGUCAGGCCCAGAAGCGGGUCCAACUGCUGCUCAGGCUGGGGCAGCUUCCGCCACCGGCCACCUUGGCCCUCACGCCCAUCCCGGGAAAGGAGGCCGUGGUCCCACUGCGCAGGCGCACCCACGGACAGCGUGAGCCAGAUCCAGCCCUUCCCUUGACAGUGGGGACAUGCGCUUGAGACUCCUGCCUCUAGGAGGCUAAUGGCUGUAAUUACAAAUGCUUAUUGCAAGAAAAGGAAAACUUCUUAGCAAAAACAAGUAAAGUCUAGAAGUUCUGAUUCCAUCUUUAUCCAGAACAAUGACAGGAGGGAGUACCGAAAAAUCCAACACUUUGAUUUCGUGAGAUGAUGGGAUUCAGAUGAACGAAAAUGUUUUUCUUAACUUUUGGUCCCCAACAAUAUUGCGCUGCUUCGGCAAGCUUUAUAUCUCACAUAUACAAUGUGCGUGUUUAUUCAACAAAUAUUUAUUGUGUACCUACCAUUCAGUCACUCUGCAGACGUUUAUUAGAUGCUUAAUAUUGAGCGAGGCGCUGUGCCCGUGGUGAGUGAAGCGGGCGUAAUUGGCGUUGUCGCCAAGCUCACCCUCUGUGUGUCCCAGGUCCUGGGGAGGGCACUCCCUCUGUCUUCAUCUUCUCCCCUCCCUCCCUUCCUUGUUUCCCAAGUCCCGCCACCCUGGGAGGCAAAAUGUGAUGCCCUGAAUAGUGAUGGAUGGUGUUUCUU
rnacentral:lncRNA from 1 species